ACACUGAGAAUCUUGGACAAUUCCCCCUGUGGACACUGCAGUCAAGCAGCUAACAAUUCACUGAGUGAAAUUGGAUCUCACUCUUUACCCUCUGUAAGGAGGUUGUACUCUUAAAAAUCCAGCCAGCUCAUGUCCCUCAUGGACACAAACAGACGGACAGAUGCAUGACUUGGUAAGCAGAGUUUCAGCCGACCUGAUUCAGCUCUGCUACAGACAGCUGAGAAGUUGAAAUAUGCUCCCUCUGCGUGGCACCACAAGAGGGCCCUGUCACACAGCUAGUCUCUGUUCAUGUCCACACCAUCAGCAAACAGCAGCCCCACAGGAAAGAAGUCACUGAUAACAAUGGAGGGGAAGAUCGACUCAUCUUUUAUCUGUCAUAGGAGCCCACAGCCCACUGAAUGACACAGAAACUUGUUCACCCAGGAAGGAAACUCCCUACUCACCAUGAGGACGUCAGUCCAAAGUCCAGUAGAGCAGCUGUGUUUUCUGUGUGCAUGUUUUUAUGAGUGAGAUUCAGGAAAGAGGGGGACUGUGUCAAU